rnacentral:rRNA from 2 species
ACCUCUGCAAUGGGCGAAAGCUUGACAGGGUUACUCUGAGUGAUUUCCGCUAAGGGGAUCUUUUGACACCUCUAAAAAUGGUGUAGAAUAAGGGGUGGGCAAGUCUGGUGUCAGCCGCCGCGGUAAUACCAGCACCCCGAGUGGUCGGGACGAUUAUUGGGCCUAAAGCAUCCGUAGCCGGUUCUUCAAGUCUUCCGUUAAAUCCAGCCGCUCAACGGAUGGGCUGCGGAAGAUACUAAAGGACUAGGAGGCGGGAGAGGCAAGCGGUACUCAGUGGGUAGGGGUAAAAUCCUUUGAUCCAUUGAAGACCACCAGUGGCGAAGGCGGCUUGCCAGAACGCGCUCGACGGUGAGGGAUGAAAGCUGGGGGAGCAAACCGGAUUAGAUACCCGGGUAGUCCCAGCUGUAAACGAUGCAGACUCGGUGAUGGGCUAGCCUCGUGUCAGCCCAGUGCCGCAGGGAAGCCGUUAAGUCUGCCGCCUGGGGAGUACGGUCGCAAGACUGAAACUUAA